UGCCCUGCCUGAGUGGUUUUGUUGGCACCAAUGAGAAGUCCAUGUCUUUUGCCACAGAAAUCAGCAUGGCUUCCCAGACCUAGCAGAGGUUUGUAAGUAUAGAUGGGAAAGAACUGUUUACUACUAGUCAGCAUCUAACAUUGACUGAGAUACAUCAAAUGCCAUGUGCUCUUGCCUGCCACUAAGGAAAACCUAGUUCUUUGUUCAUCUAUACCUUGUAAGCCAUCUUUUUCAGCAUGGCUCUUCUCAGUGGUGCAGACAAAACAAACAUUCCCUCUGAGUUGAAUCUCUGCUCCUGCCUCUCUACAGGUAAGUGCUCUUGUUCCUUUGCAGCAUCGACAGCUGCUCUGCCGAGACCUCAGAAAGUAGUGGAUUUCACAUGAGAAUCAUUCCACAGAGAAAGCCAAAGUAAAAAGCUACUUGAAUUACUGGUGCUAUUACCCCCUACGAAGUAGUAAAUUGCUGCAGAGACAAGAUGAUAAGGAAAUGCAUCUAAGACAUAUGAGGCAGUCAGGUUUAAAGGUCUUGUCUCUUCCCAAAGAUACAAGAAGGCCUGGCAUUGGCUUCAACACCUAGAGAAAAUGAAUUCCUACAGACACAGAUGUCAAGCAGUGGAUCUUUGAUAGUAUCUUAGUAGUUGUCUUAGAGACAAUACAUGAAUCUGCUGCCUUUUGCUAAUUUUCGUGUUUGCUUCAACUCUGAAGUAAAGCAGUCUGGCUUGCCUGACACAUAUGGCCAGGGGACUGGAGGGUCCCUAAGUGGGAGAGUCACCGCCAGCCCACUGAGAUGGGCAUAUCUGUGCUUUCCCCCUCCCAGUGUUUGGAAAGGAGGCACAGGCCAUGACACCCAACAGGGCCAGAAACCAGACAAAUCAAGCCUGAGGAUAACACAGGAAAGAGAGAAGAUGCAGAUCCAGAGUAAGUAGCCUUUGCUGUUCUAGCUCUUGGGACUGGCUAAUAGAAGAUCUCUGCUAUGAAGCCCAUCUACAACAUGGCAGGGACAUUGUUUCUCUCUGGCAAAUGAAUUAUUGCUUGUAACAGGUGAAAAUUAAUUGGUGCGGACAUUAGGAAGCUGUGUGUAUAGUAGUAAUUCCACCAGCGUUGGUGGUCUUCUGUCAGGGGAUCUCUCUCAGUAAUGUAUGCAACAGGAGAACAUGAAGAUGGUCUCUGGAAAGGUGGUAUGCAAGAAAACUUCUGAGCUUGUGCCAGACCCUGAUGAAAUCAAAGUUGCAGGUAUGCUGCCACCCUUGGCAUGUGGAGGCUGGAACUCCCAACAUCUCCAGGAGUGCAG